rnacentral:lncRNA from 1 species
AAAACUUUAAGCCAUUAUAUUAGGCAGCUAGCAGUUACUUAGUGCCAUGUGGUUAUUGUGAAAACUGUCUAGCUUGGAACGUUUUGACAAUUUCUAUAAUUCUUUUGACAAACUUUUAUUGCCUUUGGACAUAAGGCUUAGAAUGCUGGUCACUGUUGUGAACAUGCAGUUUACUGUUGUGAACACUAAAUGGAGAAUGCUGCCUUCCUUUUUCUUUUUCAUGCAGUUUACUGUUGUGAGCACUAAUUGGAGAAUGCUGCCUCCCAGAUAUGCAGAAUGCUGCCUUCCAUUUUUAUGUUCCACGCAGUUUACUGUUGUGAACGCUAAAUGGAGAUUCAUGGUGUACUGUUCACCAUAGUAUUGUUGGGAAUAAAAACUUAAACGCCAAAGGGGCGCUGAGUUUUCUGGUGCAACUUUGAAGCUGUGCACUUAGGGAGUGAUGACGAAAGCAAUAGUUUACUACUAGCACUUAAUUUGAAUUUAUCUGUGUUAAAUUUGUGGUUUGGUUUAGAUUAUGCGCCAUUUCUACCUUGUUUUUUUUGAAACGCCAUUUCUACCUUGUGAACUUGUAGCCAUGAUGCUUUCUGUAGAUAUGAUGCUCUUUUUUUUUUGAAACAAGAAGACAUGAUGCUCUUGUUUUGUUCUUCAGAUGCACUAUACUGUUGCAAGCAGAGAAUCGUGUUUCUGAGGCGGUGGUGCGACUGGUGGUCGAAGAGGCUGGGGGCCCAUAUUUUCAGAGAUAGAAAGAUUGUGCUUGUUAUCAUGUACUCCCUCCGUCCCAAAAUGAGGGAGUAAUUUGCUGCUGCAGUUGAGUGACAACAGUUUGCUUCGACGGCGUAGGUCGCGUUGAUGUUUUGUACCUGUUACCUGUGCUGAAGACGAAACUAUUGAAGAGGUACGGUAUCGAUGGUACGGCAAAAGUUUUUGGUUGGCGUAACACUGCUAGACCCCUGAAAAAUGUACACUUAAUCUGACCACUUAUGCGGCGAAAAAUUUAAAACUUAAUUUGUCAAUUGCCCCCUUGAAAAACUUAUUUUGUAAUCUUGCCCCUGCAAUUCGCGCCUAACGACCAGACGCCUGAUAGGCUGAUACAGGUGACGGUGCCAUCUCACCAGAUGCAUUUUACCGUGGCAGAGCAUUUUGUCUACAGUGAUUAUCUGCUGUAAAUAGUAUUUCAGCUCUCUGACUUGCCUCUACUAUAUUUUACACAAGAGUAUUGCAGCGUCCCUGCCUUCCCUCCCAAAGUCAGAGGAGACGGUUCCCUCGUCGAGACGCCUAUGAUACACGUGAUGGUGCCUUAUCCCCAGAUGAGUUUGGUCGUGGUCAGACUGACUGCCCUGCCAACAUAGCACACGCAUAUCGCGUCCAGUCGAGACCGUGCUUUUUUAGCGGGGACAGUCUAUGCUGAAGGAGCGUGUUUGGGUGGUAGACUUCCAAGAUGCUUCUUCAGUUUUCUCAGACCGUCGGGUAGUUGUGUGGCCUAUUG